UGUUGCAGAUUUAUUUUAUAAAUUACGUAUUCUCUUCUUCUAUUUCCUCUCCUCUCCUCCUUUUCUUUACAACUCGAGGAAAGACACAGGGGAAGAAGGAGGAAGAGAGGGAAAUCGAACAGUAGAAAUCACUUCUGAAGACUUCUUUGUUAUUUUUUUAAAUUUAUGAU
rnacentral:ribozyme from 13 species